rnacentral:lncRNA from 1 species
UAUACAAUUAAGGGAUUAGAUAACCUGUUAGAAAGACUAUUAGAAAAAAUAAAAAAUAUUUUUUCUCAACUAGAGACUAUGGAUAUAUCAUCUAAGGAAUAUGAUAAUCUUAAAGAAUUAUAUGACAAUUAUAUUACAGAUUAUGCUAAUUUAUUAGAUCAAAGGAUGGAACUAUAUAUUAAAAUUCGAAAUGGGAGAAAUAGAAGAAUUUUAGAACUAUU